rnacentral:rRNA from 1 species
UCAGGAUGAACGCUAGCGGGAGGCCUAACACAUGCAGCCGAGCGGUAGAGAUUCUUCGGAAUCUUGAGAGCGGCGUACGGGUGCGGAACACGUGUGCAACCUGCCUUUAUCAGGGGGAUAGCCUUUCGAAAGGAAGAUUAAUACCCCAUAAUAUAUUAAGUGGCAUCACUUGAUAUUGAAAACUCCGGUGGAUAAAGAUGGGCACGCGCAAGAUUAGAUAGUUGGUAGGGUAACGGCCUACCAAGUCAGUGAUCUUUAGGGGGCCUGAGAGGGUGAUCCCCCACACUGGUACUGAGACACGGACCAGACUCCUACGGGAGGCAGCAGUGAGGAAUAUUGGACAAUGGGUGAGAGCCUGAUCCAGCCAUCCCGCGUGAAGGAUGACGGCCCUAUGGGUUGUAAACUUCUUUUGUAUAGGGAUAAACCUUUCCACGUGUGGAAAGCUGAAGGUACUAUACGAAUAAGCACCGGCUAACUCCGUGCCAGCAGCCGCGGUAAUACGGAGGGUGCAAGCGUUAUCCGGAUUUAUUGGGUUUAAAGGGUCCGUAGGCGGAUCUGUAAGUCAGUGGUGAAAUCUCACAGCUUAACUGUGAAACUGCCAUUGAUACUGCAGGUCUUGAGUAAGGUAGAAGUAGCUGGAAUAAGUAGUGUAGCGGUGAAAUGCAUAGAUAUUACUUAGAACACCAAUUGCGAAGGCAGGUUACUAUGUCUUAACUGACGCUGAUGGACGAAAGCGUGGGGAGCGAACAGGAUUAGAUACCCUGGUAGUCCACGCCGUAAACGAUGCUAACUCGUUUUUGGGUCUUCGGAUUCAGAGACUAAGCGAAAGUGAUAAGUUAGCCACCUGGGGAGUACGUUCGCAAGAAUGAAACUCAAAGGAAUUGACGGGGGCCCGCACAAGCGGUGGAUUAUGUGGUUUAAUUCGAUGAUACGCGAGGAACCUUACCAAGGCUUAAAUGGGAAUUGAUCGGUUUAGAAAUAGACCUUCCUUCGGGCAAUUUUCAAGGUGCUGCAUGGUUGUCGUCAGCUCGUGCCGUGAGGUGUUAGGUUAAGUCCUGCAACGAGCGCAACCCCUGUCACUAGUUGCCAUCAUUAAGUUGGGGACUCUAGUGAGACUGCCUACGCAAGUAGAGAGGAAGGUGGGGAUGACGUCAAAUCAUCACGGCCCUUACGCCUUGGGCCACACACGUAAUACAAUGGCCGGUACAGAGGGCAGCUACACAGCGAUGUGAUGCAAAUCUCGAAAGCCGGUCUCAGUUCGGAUUGGAGUCUGCAACUCGACUCUAUGAAGCUGGAAUCGCUAGUAAUCGCGCAUCAGCCAUGGCGCGGUGAAUACGUUCCCGGGCCUUGUACACACCGCCCGUCAAGCCAUGGAAGUCUGGGGUACCUGAAGUCGGUGACCGUAAAAGGAGCUGCCUAGGGUAAAACAGGUAACUAGGGCUAAGUCGUAACAAGGUA